UCGACUCCUGAAGCUGCUGGAGGGUCCAUGGAGCUCUGAGGAAGGGUUUUGUACCUUCCCCACUUUCUCUCUCUAGGUUUUCUCUCUCUUCGAGUAGAAAUCGUUGAUUUGCGCCUAUUUCUCGCCGUUCGUCGCGCCAGCUGGUUUGUGGACGUUGGAGCAGCUACGAGUGGGUGGAAAGGACUCGCAUGAGAGGUAUUUUCGCAGCUCCAACUUUCAGGGAACCUGAAUUGAAGUCUAGUGAGCUGGAUUGAGAUGGUUUAAAGCACCAAUUGAAGAGUGGUUUUGCUGUAAUCCUUCACCCCAAAGUCAGAGUUAAAGCCUUCGAGGUUUCCAAACUAAUUUGAGCUGAAUUUGUGACCUCGGGGACUGGUUUAGAAGGUGUUUCAACCUGGGCGAGGCUGCGAUUGACUUUCAGAUUAUCUUUGGCUGAUAUGUGAGGGCAAUUAGAGGCUUAACUUGAGCAGAGUGGGGCACCGUUGAGUUGAGUUUCGGGAUUUCUUGUGACUGGAUUGAGCUUAGGGAUAGGUGGGUCUGACCUUCUCGAAAUGGGUGAAUUCCCUCUAUGUUUCCUUUGACAUCUGAGUUGAAGUUAUUCCAUGUUCAUGUG